UAAACCAGAUAUAUAUAACAUUGCCUAUUAAUUAUUUCAUAUUAUUUACAGGCGUUUAGGGAUAAUGUUUCUGUUGUACAAAGGUUAAUAGAACAUCUACCACAAUGACUGCAAAACGACGUGCAAAAUGGCACAUUCUUUACAUCCCUCACACUAACCUGUCUAGGUAUGUACUAUUUGCGUAUUGACAGAUUGUAAUACAACUAUAAUGCUGUAAUUAGUCUCCGUUUUUGCAGGCUAUGGCAAUAAUAUUGAACCUGUAAAAAUUAUUUCUUCGCAUUAGCCCAACUCAAUUCUUGUCACAUAAUGUAGCCAGAGUGGAGAACUUGCAGCAAACCACCAAUAUAAAAUUUAAUAAAGUAGAGAAGAAAAAUAUAACGUGUUAUGCAGUAAAUUGCCAUGUAAGUCGGAAUUUAUAAAAGGUAGGAAAUGGAAAUGACAUGUCAAGUUAAAAGCAUGUCAAAAGCUGGACAAAUAACUUACCAGUGACGUGCGUCUUUUGCCAUUUAAAUAAAGAUUAAAAAAUAUUGUGGAAGAUAAAAGAUUGAUAACAAGCUACUAUAAAUUACAUUUAUACAAAAUAGAUUCAAGUAUUCACCUUGCAGCCUUAGUUUGGAUAGCAACAACUUAGAAUACGACAUCUUAAUAAGUUACUAUAUGUUUUCUUUGAUCAGUUAAGAAGUUGCAUGUUUUGGUCCUAUUGGAGCAUACUUAAAAGAAGCCAAGAGCAGAGAUCUCUGGUAAAUAGGAUACCUAAAUGAUCUGGAUUAGUGUGUAGAAUUCUAACAAUAACAAUAUCAGUUCGGUAUAGUUUCUUCCAGGCCAGAAAAGACAGAAAGAUGGGAGGGACUCUAGACAAGAAAAUCCUCAUCAAGAAAUUUCAUAGCAGAUAGUGAGAAACUAGAAGUUAAAUCCCAUUAUAUUCUGAAAUUAUUCAUUCAAAGAUAAUACAUCGAUAUAUUUUUGAAGAUCUAAAUUGAAGAUCUAGUCGAGAUAUUCAAGCUAAGUAUUAUGGUGGCAUGAAUCAUUAAAAUGUGAAAUUCCUAUACUUGUUUCAAAUGCACAUAUCAUCAUAAUACCUGACUUCUUGAUCUGUCAUCCAUGAGCUGCUGAAUCCUAGUACGUGGCUACACAGUCACCUUUCUUGUUCUUGUCCACCUUUACUUUUAAGACAUAAUCAUAGAUGCUAACUUAAGACCCUUUUUAUCCUUGUACACAUUUAACAUGGAAAAAACUUUUAUUCAGCUAAUAUAGCUGCCAAAAAGACUUAACAACACACAAGGAUAUCACGAUACAACUAGAAUUGUCAAAAAAAAAAAAUAUUACAUGAUCACUGAAAUAAAAUUUAUGUACACAAAGCAAAAGAGAAUUUUAAAACUCUAACUAUUCCCUCUCGUCCAAAACAAUUGCAGUCCUCAUUAAGGAGUAUGCCAUACUUUAGUAAACAGGAAAUAAAUCAGCUUGAUGUGACCUUAUUUUCUCGAUUUUAGAAAGAAAGCUCUAAACCAACAAGAUUGUUUAUCAAAGCAUAUAGAGGGAAUUUCUAUGCAAGUAUCCAUCUAUUUUAGCAUAUGAUGGGUCUAUCUUAG
rnacentral:lncRNA from 1 species